GACGAACGCUGGCGGCGUGCUUAACACAUGCAAGUGGAGCGACGAACCAGGCUUCGGCCUGGGGCAAAGCCGCGAACGGGUGAGUAACACGUGGGUAACCUGCCCCGAUGACCGGGACAACCCGAGGAAACUCGGGCUAAUACCGGAUGUGCUCGCAUCACGUCAGUGGUGUGAGCAAAGGUAGCUUCGGCCUCCGCAUCGGGAUGGGGCCCGCGGCGCAUUAGCUUGUUGGUGGGGAACGGCCUACCAAGGCGACGAUGCGUAGCUGGUCUGAGAGGACGAUCAGCCACACUGGGACUGAGACACGGCCCAGACUCCUACGGGAGGCAGCAGUGGGGAAUCUUGCGCAAUGCGCGAAAGCGUGACGCAGCAACGCCGCG
rnacentral:rRNA from 1 species